UAGCAGCACAGAAAUAUUGGCACAGGGAAGCGAGUCUGCCAAUAUUGGCUGUGCUGCUCCA
rnacentral:pre_miRNA from 1 species